CAUGCAAAAAAAAAAAAAAAAAAAAAAAAAAAAAAA
rnacentral:ribozyme from 13 species